UCUCUACCCCUCUAAACCCUAGAUCAUUCAACAAAGAGUAAAAGGGAAACGGACCAGAUGACGCAGAAUAAGAAGAGCAAGUAUCACUAUAUUCUCCUCCCUUGAUCAAGAAACGGACCAGAAAAAAGGGAUAAUUUCUCAUCCCUUGAUCAGAUUUGCUCUUCCUCUUGCAUUUUGGGUAAGAGCCAACAAUAGAGAGAAAGAGGCCAAAGUCAGAAAAUAUUAGGAUUUCUCUAAAAAGUCAAAAAAAUCAAUAUGAAUGUAGAAAUAUAGAAGAUCUAAUGAUAGAUCGUUACUCUAUUUCCCAGGAUGUCUCUCGAGUUGGCUUGAUUCCAUCGGUGUUCUACAGUUUGCGCAUUAAUAAAGGUGUAUAACCUUUAUUAAUGCUACUGUCAUCAGUCAACUGUUGGAAUUGCAUGUUGUUUCUCCUUGGUUUUGGUGAAAAUCUUGAUACACAAGUUACCUUUUCAAGAAUCCUCCAGAAUUGGUCUAGGCAAAUUUGGUUGAAGUGCUUGCUCACAGAUAAAAGAUCGAAAGCCCAUGAGAGGCACAUGGAGCAAUAAAAACAACACGCAAGGGCUAUUUCAGGUACUUCUAAGGGCAAUCUACUUUAAUCUUUUUGUUGUGGCAGCACAUAUUGCAGUAUUUUUAUGCUAAAUUAAUUUAGAUGUUUAACUCUGGAAGUAAGAUUGACUCAAACUAGUACUGAAUCAUCUGUGUGAGGUUUCUCCUAUAUUUCGGCACUUCAUUAAAGCAUUCAUGCUGGCGACCCCUCGGGAAAUCUAUUACUCAACUUCAUACCAACUGCUUAAGAUGCCUUGUCUCCUCUCAUUCUGUUCCAACAGAGUUCCACAUCUUGCUGAGCUUUUACUCUGAGUGUGUGAUAAAUCAUUAAAAGUCAGUUUUGGUUAGAGUGAUACUCAGCGACAGGUUGAAAAGCUCUGAAUGGUUGAAAGUAUGUGAAGUUAUCUACAAAUGAUAGAGAACAACGUUUGAGGUCGAGCAACUUGCUUAAAGAAAGUUGUAUCUUAUAAGGUGAGUUGUCAUGGAGGUACUCCCAACAAGAGAACUUAUCUUAGAGAAAUUUAAUUGAAAAUAUUCACCAAGAUGUAUUUUCACAUUAUGCAGACUGCAGUAAAAUAUGCAGCUUUUGUAAAGUGCUUGAGCAAGAGGAAAAGGAAAUAGUAAAAGUUGUACAAUUAUGAAUCUGGCUGAGUCUGGUGGGGCUCUAAAGCUUCAUAUUAAUGUCAUGAAUUUACCAUAUGUAUUUUCUGAGGAUGCAGGAAGAUGAUUAACUGGAGAGUUCAAUGAUCUUGGAUUGACCGUGUCUAAGAUCUGUGUAUUAGAUGAGCAGUUUUAUUAGUCAUUUUUUAUGUUAUUUUAUUUUGAUAUGUGGAAUGCCUAUACUGUUUAUAGAGGCAUUCUUUAGUGUAAACUGAAGUACUUUAUGGACAUACUUCAGCAAUAAUGUAACUGCAGAUGUGUAUAUCUGUUUGGUUGUGUCUUCCGCAAGUAUGUUAAUUUUGAAGGUUCUCUCCUUA